rnacentral:rRNA from 1 species
AUUGAACGCUGGCGGAAUGCUUUACACAUGCAAGUCGAACGAUGAAGUCUAGCUUGCUAGACGGAUUAGUGGCGAACGGGUGAGUAAUAUAUCGGAACGUAUCCAUUAAUGGGGGAUAACUAGUCGAAAGAUUGGCUAAUACCGCAUACGUCCUACGAGAGAAAGCUGGGGAUCGUAAGACCUGGCGUUAAUGGAGCGGCCGUCAUCUGAUUAGCUAGUUGGUGAGGUAAAGGCUCACCAAGGCGACUAUCAGUAGCUGGUCUGAGAGGACGACCAGCCACACUGGAACUGAGACACGGUCCAGACUCCUACGGGAGGCAGCAGUGGGGAAUUUUGGACAAUGGGCGAAAGCCUGAUCCAGCCAUUCCGCGUGAGUGAAGAAGGCCUUCGGGUUGUAAAGCUCUUUCGCAAGGGAAGAAAACUUAUCCUCUAACAUAGGGUGAGGUUGACGGUACCUUGAUAAGAAGCACCGGCUAACUACGUGCCAGCCGCCGCAGUAA